UACGAACUGUGCGAACGUUAUUCGGAAUCACUGGGCUUACAGGGUGCGUAGGCGGCUCAACAAGUCAGGUGUGAAAGCCCCCGGCUCAACCGGGGAACUGCGCUUGAAACUGUUAGGCUCGAGUCAGCUAGAGGUACACGGAACUUCCAGUGGAGCGGUGAAAUGUGUUGAUAUUGGAAGGAACACCGGAGGCGAAAGCGGUGUACUGGGGCUGGUCUGACGCUGAGGCACGAAAGCUAGGGUAGCAAACGGG
rnacentral:rRNA from 1 species